GACGAACGCUGGCGGCAGGCCUAACACAUGCAAGUCGAGCGCCCAGCAAUGGGAGCGGCAGACGGGUGAGUAACGCGUGGGGAUCUGCCCAAUGGUACGGAAUAACCCAGGGAAACUUGGACUAAUACCGUAUGUGCCCUUCGGGGGAAAGAUUUAUCGCCAUUGGAUGAACCCGCGUCGGAUUAGCUAGUUGGUGAGGUAAAGGCUCACCAAGGCGACGAUCCGUAGCUGGUCUGAGAGGAUGAUCAGCCACACUGGGACUGAGACACGGCCCAGACUCCUACGGGAGGCAGCAGUGGGGAAUAUUGGACAAUGGGCGCAAGCCUGAUCCAGCCAUGCCGCGUGAGUGAUGAAGGCCUUAGGGUUGUAAAAUACUUUCACCGGGGAAGAUAAUGACGGCACCCGGAGAAGAAGCCCCGGCUAACUUCGUGCCAGCCGCCGCUGUAACAC
rnacentral:rRNA from 1 species